rnacentral:rRNA from 1 species
AGCGAACGCUGGCGGCAGGCCUAACACAUGCAAGUCGAACGAAGUCUUCGGACUUAGUGGCGGACGGGUGAGUAACACGUGGGAACGUGCCCUUUGGUACGGAAUAACUCAGGGAAACUUGAGCUAAUACCGUAUGUGCCCUUUGGGGGAAAGAUUUAUCGCCAUUGGAGCGGCCCGCGUCUGAUUAGCUAGUUGGUGGUGUAAUGGACCACCAAGGCGACGAUCAGUAGCUGGUCUGAGAGGAUGAUCAGCCACAUUGGGACUGAGACACGGCCCAAACUCCUGCGGGAGGCAGCAGUGGGGAAUCUUGCGAAAUGGGCGAAAGCCUGAGGCAGCCAUGCCGCGUGAAUGAUGAAGGUCCUAGGAUUGUAAAAUUCUUUCACCGGGGACGAUAAUGACGGUACCCGGAGAAGAAGCCCCGGCUAACUUCGUGCCAGCCGCCGCCGUAAAAC